ACGAUGAACCACUUCGGUGGGGAUUAGUGGCGAACGGGUGAGUAACACGUGGGCAAUCUGCCCUGCACUCUGGGACAAGCCCUGGAAACGGGGUCUAAUACCGGAUACGACGCGCUCAGGCAUCUGAUGCGCGUGGAAAGCUCCGGCGGUGCAGGAUGAGCCCGCGGCCUAUCAGCUUGUUGGUGAGGUAACGGCUCACCAAGGCGACGACGGGUAGCCGGCCUGAGAGGGCGACCGGCCACACUGGGACUGAGACACGGCCCAGACUCCUACGGGAGGCAGCAGUGGGGAAUAUUGCACAAUGGGCGAAAGCCUGAUGCAGCGACGCCGCGUGAGGGAUGACGGCCUUCGGGUUGUAAACCUCUUUCAGCAGGGAAGAAGCGAAAGUGACGGUACCUGCAGAAGAAGCGCCGGCUAACUACGUGCCAGCAGCCGCGGUAAUACGUAGGGCGCGAGCGUUGUCCGGGAAUUAUUGGGCGUAAAGAGCUCGUAGGCGGCUUGUCGCGUCGGUUGUGAAAGCCCGGGGCUUAACCCCGGGUCUGCAGUCGAUACGGGCAGGCUAGAGUUCGGUAGGGGAGAUCGGAAUUCCUGGUGUAGCGGUGAAAUGCGCAGAUAUCAGGAGGAACACCGGUGGCGAAGGCGGAUCUCUGGGCCGAUACUGACGCUGAGGAGCGAAAGCGUGGGGAGCGAACAGGAUUAGAUACCCUGGUAGUCCACGCCGUAAACGGUGGGCACUAGGUGUGGGCA
rnacentral:rRNA from 1 species